CUCCCACUCCAGACAGACGCAGGUUAAGAUCCUCUCUGGCAAGACUACAAACUUCAUUUAUGGCAAGAGUUCACUUCACCUCCCUUGUGACUGAUAUUUUCAUUUCAUCAGCGGUACAUCUGUCCAGUGCUCCCCAGGAAUAACCCUAGGAUCUCACGUUGUAUGGAACAUGUGGAGGUCAGAAGACAACUUGAAGCAGUUAGUUCUCUCCUUCCACCAUGUAGUCUCCAGGAUCACUCUCAGGUCACCAGGUUGGAGGAUACAGUGUGACCGACUCCUUCAAGUUCCUGCUGUCCUGAUUUCCCCAUCGCGGUGGACUGCACCAUUAAACUUUAAGCUAAAACAAACAUUUUCUCUUCUAGGUUGCUUUUCUUUGGGACAUUUUGGCACCAGAAAAGUCAUUAAAAUAGCAUUGAGAUUGAGCACCACGAAAAAGAAGAGAAAAGACUCGUCAUUUGUGUUUGCAGUCAAUCUUUUUCGGGUAUCCUGCCUCCCUGUCACAGGCAGACACCCAUAUAUCUGCUGUUCCAUAGAUUUGCCUUCUCUCGACAUUUUCUUUAAAAAAGAAUCACACAGUAUGUCCUCUUCUGUUCUAGAGUCUUUCAUUUGGCAUACCCUCCCCCAGCCCAGGCUGGCCUAAAACUCACUGUGUAGGUCAAGUUGGCAUGAAACUCCCAAGUGUUAGGACUGGAAGGUAUGAGC